rnacentral:rRNA from 1 species
ACUCAGAUCACGUAAUUUUUUAAUAGUCGAACAGACUACCCUCUUUUAGCUCCUUCACCAAAAUAAAAAUUAAUUCAACAUCGAGGUCACAAACUUGAUUAUUAAUAAGAACUUGCUAAUCAAAUUAUGCUGUUAUCCCUAGAGUAACUUCUUACAUUAAAUAUAUUUUAUAAAAUUUUCUAAAAAUAUAUAUCUUCAACCGUUACCCCAACCAAAAAUUUUUUAAAAAUCACAAGCUUCUAGGGUCUUCUCGUCCCAAAACUUCAUAAAAGCAUUUUUACUUUUAAUUUAAAUUCAAGAUAAUUAAAUAAAACCAUCUCCUUAGUAUAAACCCUUCAUUCCAGCUUUCAAUUAAAAAA